rnacentral:rRNA from 1 species
UAGGGAAUCUUCCGCAAUGGGCGAAAGCCUGACGGAGCAACGCCGCGUGAGUGAUGAAGGUCUUCGGAUCGUAAAACUCUGUUAUUAGGGAAGAACAAAUGUGUAAGUAACUAUGCACGUCUUGACGGUACCUAAUCAGAAAGCCACGGCUAACUACGUGCCAGCAGCCGCGGUAAUACGUAGGUGGCAAGCGUUAUCCGGAAUUAUUGGGCGUAAAGCGCGCGUAGGCGGUUUUUUAAGUCUGAUGUGAAAGCCCACGGCUCAACCGUGGAGGGGCAUUGGAAACUGGAAAACUUGAGUGCAGAAGAGGAAAGUGGAAUUCCAUGUGUAGCGGUGAAAUGCGCAGGGAUAUGGAGGAACACCAGUGGCGAAGGCGACUUUCUGGUCUGUAACUGACGCUGAUGUGCGAAAGCGUGGGGAUCAAACAGG